rnacentral:misc_RNA from 1 species
GAUGAAGAACAUAGCGAAAUGCGAUACGUAAUGUGAAUUGCAGAAUUCAGUGAAUCAUCGAGUCUUUGAACGCACAUUGCGCCCCCUGGUAUUCCGGGGGGCAUGCCUGUCCGAGCGUCAUUGCUGCCCUCAAGCCCGGCUUGUGUGUUGGGUCUCGUCCCCCUUCCCGGGGGGACGGGCCCGAAAGGCAGCGGCGGCACCGUGUCCGGUCCUCGAGCGUAUGGGGCUUUGUCACCCGCUCUGUAGGCCCGGCCGGCGCUUGCCGAUCAACCAAAACUUUUUUCCAGGUUGACCUCGGAUCAGGUAGGGAUACCCGCUGAACUUAAGCAUAUCAAUAAGCGGAGGA